rnacentral:rRNA from 1 species
UACGGAGGGUGCGAGCGUUGUCCGGAAUCACUGGGCGUAAAGGGCGCGUAGGUGGCUUCUCAAGCGCGCGGUGAAAGCCCGGGGCUCAACCCCGGGUCGGCCGUGCGGACUGGGAGGCUCGAGCACUGUAGGGGCGGGUGGAAUUCCGGGUGUAGCGGUGGAAUGCGUAGAGAUCCGGAAGAACACCGGUGGCGAAGGCGGCCUGCUGGGCAGUAGCUGACACUGAGGCGCGACAGCGUGGGGAGCAAACAGG